UACGGAGGAUGCGAGCGUUAUCCGGAUUUAUUGGGUUUAAAGGGUGCGUAGGUGGAUUGGUAAGUCAGUGGUGAAAGUUUGCAGCUUAACUGUAAAAUUGCCGUUGAAACUGCCGGUCUUGAGUGCAAAUGAGGUAGGCGGAAUGCGUCGUGUAGCGGUGAAAUGCUUAGAUAUGACGCAGAACUCCGAUUGCGAAGGCAGCUUACUGGGAUGCAACUGACGCUGAGGCACGAAAGCGUGGGUAUCAAACAGGAUUAGA
rnacentral:rRNA from 1 species